rnacentral:rRNA from 1 species
UACGGAGGGGGCUAGCGUUGUUCGGAAUUAUUGGGCGUAAAGCGCGCGUAGGCGGCUACUUAAGUCGGAUGUGAAAGCCCUUGGCUCAACUGAGGAAGUGCACCCGAAACUGAGUGGCUUGAGUACGAAAGAGGGUCGCGGAAUUCCCGGUGUAGAGGUGAAAUUCGUAGAUAUCGGGAGGAACACCGGUGGCGAAGGCGGCGACCUGGGUCGAUACUGACGCUGAUGCGCGAAAGCGUGGGGAGCAAACAGG